rnacentral:rRNA from 1 species
AGUGAACGCUGGCGGUAGGCCUAACACAUGCAAGUCGAACGGCAGCACAGUAAGAUCUUGCUCUUACGGGUGGCGAGUGGCGGACGGGUGAGGAAUACAUCGGAAUCUACUUUUUCGUGGGGGAUAACGUAGGGAAACUUACGCUAAUACCGCAUACGACCUACGGGUGAAAGCAGGGGAUCUUCGGACCUUGCGCGUUUCAAUGAGCCGAUGUCGGAUUAGCUAGUUGGCGGGGUAAAGGCCCACCAAGGCGACGCUCCGUAGCUGGUCUGAGAGGAGGAUCAGCCACACUGGAACUGAGACACGGUCCAGACUCCUACGGGAGGCAGCAGUGGGGAAUAUUGGACAAUGGGCGCAAGCCUGAUCCAGCCAUACCGCGUGGGUGAAGAAGGCCUUCGGGUUGUAAAGCCCUUUUGUUGGGAAAGAAAAGCAGCAGGUUAAUACCCCGCUGUGCUGACGGUACCCAAAGAAUAAGCACCGGCUAACUUCGUG